CAGUCGCCGCGGUAAUACGGAGGGUGCAAGCGUUAAUCGGAAUUACUGGGCGUAAAGCGUGCGUAGGCGGUUCGUUAGGUCUGUUGUGAAAGCCCCGGGCUCAACCUGGGAAUGGCAAUGGAUACUGGCGAGCUAGAGUGUGUCAGAGGAUGGUGGAAUUCCCGGUGUAGCGGUGAAAUGCGUAGAGAUCGGGAGGAACAUCAGUGGCGAAGACGGCCAUCUGGGACAACACUGACGCUGAGGCACGGAAGCGUGGGGAGCAAACAGGAUUAGAUACCCGAGUAGUCCCUGUCUCUUAUAC
rnacentral:rRNA from 1 species